CUGGGGGCAUGCUUUACACAUGCAAGUCGAACGGCAGCACGAAAGAGCUUGCUCUUUUGGUGGCGAGUGGCGAACGGGUGAGUAAUACAUUGGAACGUACCGAGUAAUGGGGGAUAACUGUCCGAAAGGAUGGCUAAUACCGCAUACGCUCUGAGGAGGAAAGCGGGGGACCUUCGGGCCUCGCGUUAUUCGAGCGGCCAAUGUCUGAUUAGCUAGUUGGUGGGGUAAAGGCCUACCAAGGCGACGAUCAGUAGUGGGUCUGAGAGGAUGAUCCGCCACACUGGGACUGAGACACGGCCCAGACUCCUACGGGAGGCAGCAGUGGGGAAUUUUGGACAAUGGGCGAAAGCCUGAUCCAGCCAUGCCGCGUGUCUGAAGAAGGCCUUCGGGUUGUAAAGGACUUUUGUCAGGGAAGAAAGGGUUUGGGUUAAUACCCUGAGCUUAUGA
rnacentral:rRNA from 1 species